GACGAACGCUGGCGGCGUGCUUAACACAUGCAAGUCGAACGAUGAAGUUCCUUCGGGAAUGGAUUAGUGGCGAACGGGUGAGGAACACGUGAACAAUCUGCCCCUUACACGGGAAUAACCUCGGGAAACCGAAGCUAAUACCCGAUAUUGAAUUCGGUAGGCAUCUACUGAAUUUGAAAUGGUCCGCCGGUAAGGGAUGAGUUCGCGGCCUAUCAGCUUGUUGGUGGGGUGAUGGCCUACCAAGGCGACGACGGGUAGCCGGCCUGAGAGGGUGACCGGCCACACUGGGACUGAGAUACGGCCCAGACUCCUACGGGAGGCAGCAGUGGGGAAUAUUGGACAAUGGGGGCAACCCUGAUCCAGCAAUGCCGCGUGUGUGAAGAAGGCCUGAGGGUUGUAAAGCACUUUUGUUGGGGAGAAUGGUAGGCUAGGUUAAGAGCUAGGUUUAUUGAUGUUACCCAAAGAAUAAGCACCGGCUAACUCCGUGCCAGCAGCCGCGGUAA
rnacentral:rRNA from 1 species